rnacentral:rRNA from 1 species
GGCUCAUUAAAUCAGUUAUCGUUUAUUUGAUAGUACCUUACUACUUGGAUAACCGUGGUAAUUCUAGAGCUAAUACAUGCUAAAAACCCCGACUCCGGGAGGGGUGUAUUUAUUAGAUAAAAAACCAAUGCCCUUCGGGGCUCCUUGGUGAUUCAUGAUAACUUAACGGAUCGCAUGGCCUUGCGCCGGCGACGGUUCAUUCAAAUUUCUGCCCUAUCAACUUUCGAUGGUAAGGUAUUGGCUUACCAUGGUUUCAACGGGUAACGGGAGAUUAGGGUUUGACUCCGGAGAGGGGGCCUGAGAAAUGGCCACCACAUCCAAGGAAGGCAGCAGGCGCGCAAAUUACCCAAUCCCGACACGGGGAGGUAGUGACAAUAAAUACUGAUACAGGGCUCUUUCGGGUCUUGUAAUUGGAAUGAGUACAAUUUAAACCCCUUAACGAGGAACAAUUGGAGGGCAAGUCUGGUGGACCCCAGCGUCCCGUUGCUGGCGCCAGAGAUAGUCGGGCGGCCUCCUCGGAGGCCGCUACGCCGGCUAGUCGAGCACCUACCGAGUGGAUGGGAAGGUGCCGGCGAGACAACCUGGAUCGGGGAAGGCUAAGGCGCAAGCUACGCUGAUCCCGAGCAGAGCCGGCGCGGAGCGAUCCGCGCCGCGGCCUGUGUAGAGCACGCAAAGGUGUCGGUCGACUCCCCGAGUCGGCUUAAGGGACGUGCCAACCCCGCCCGAAAGGGUGGCCGCCAGCCGUAGCGCCCAUCACGCGAGGGCUGGCGGGUCAAGAAGAUACAAGUGGCCAGCAGCCGCGGUAAUUCCAGCUCCAAUAGCGUAUAUUAAAGUUGUUGCAGUUAAAAAGCUCGUAGUUGAACCUUGGGCCUGGCUGGCCGGUCCGCCUCACCGCGUGCACUGGUUCGGCCGGGCCUUUCCUUCUGGAGAGCCGCAUGCCCUUCACUGGGUGUGCCGGGGAACCAGGACUUUUACUUUGAAAAAAUUAGAGUGUUCAAAGCAGGCCUUUGCUCGAAUACGUUAGCAUGGAAUAAUAGAAUAGGACGUGCGGUCCUAUUUUGUUGGUUUCUAGGACCGCCGUAAUGAUUAAUAGGGAUAGUCGGGGGCAUCAGUAUUCAAUUGUCAGAGGUGAAAUUCUUGGAUUUAUUGAAGACUAACUACUGCGAAAGCAUUUGCCAAGGAUGUUUUCAUUAAUCAGUGAACGAAAGUUAGGGGAUCGAAGACGAUCAGAUACCGUCGUAGUCUUAACCGUAAACUAUGCCGACUAGGGAUCGGGCGAUGUUACUAUUUUGACUCGCUCGGCACCUUA